GAGAUUUAAAAAGAGAGGAAAGAUCAAUCCUCGAUUCAUUGGCCCAUUUAUAAUCCUCGAACGAGUAGGAACUGUGGCCUAUAGACUCGCCUUACCGCCAAGUAUGUCUCGUGUUCAUAACGUUUUUCACAUAUCUACGUUACGUAAAUAUGUGAAAGACCCAAACCACAUUAUUGAAUUAGAACCAGACGAGAUAGAG
rnacentral:lncRNA from 1 species